rnacentral:rRNA from 1 species
AUGCUUGUCCCAAAGAUUAAGCCAUGCAUGCUUAGAUAAUCUCGUAUCUCUCAGAAAUCUGCGAACGGCUCCGUAUAUCUGUUAUAACUCUCCGCGCCCUAAGAAAGGUUGGUAAGCGCAUAUGGUUCGGUAAUUCUGUCAGUAAUACGUGUACCCGCAAGGCGCCCUGGCACUCGGUUCCUUUAGAGAUCGGUGCAUUUAAACAGGGCGGUCUCCAGAACUACCACUCGACCUCGGUCGUUUGGGAAAAAGCUGGAGUGUUCCUCACCAGGCACGGGGGGAGCCGGGAGAUUUCAGACCUAUCAACUAGAGAACCUUGCAGUGUAUGGUUUUGGUUUUAACGGGUACAGAGGAUCAGGGUUCGAUCCUGGAGAGGUAGCCUGAGAGAUCGCUACUACUUCUAAGGAAGGCAGCAGGCGCGCAACGUUCCCAAUGGGGGGGUUAAAGGUUCCCUGAGGACGUGACGGAAUAUAUCGAUGCCCCGACCUUUAGGUUGCGGGCAAUCGAAAUGGGGGGAUUUUAAAUCCUACUAC